UACGUAGGUGGCAAGCGUUGUCCGGAGUUAUUGGGCGUAAAGCGCGCGCAGGCGGUGCGGUAAGUCUCUGGUGAAAGCGCUCGGCUUAACUGGGCGAGGGCCGGGGAGACUGCCACGCUGGAGGGGAGCAGAGGCGAGUGGAAUUCCGGGUGUAGUGGUGAAAUGCGUAGAUAUCAGGAGGAAUACCGAUGGCGAAGGCAGGUCUCUGGGCUGACACUGACGCUCAUGCACGAAAGCGUGGGGAGCAAACAGG
rnacentral:rRNA from 1 species